rnacentral:rRNA from 1 species
GACGAACGCUGGCGGCGUGCUUAACACAUGCAAGUCGAACGGAAAGGCCCUGCUUUUGUGGGGUGCUCGAGUGGCGAACGGGUGAGUAACACGUGAGUAACCUGCCCUUGACUUUGGGAUAACUUCAGGAAACUGGGGCUAAUACCGGAUAGGAGCUCCUGCUGCAUGGUGGGGGUUGGAAAGUUUCGGCGGUUGGGGAUGGACUCGCGGCUUAUCAGCUUGUUGGUGGGGUAGUGGCUUACCAAGGCUUUGACGGGUAGCCGGCCUGAGAGGGUGACCGGCCUCAUUGGGACUGAGAUACGGCCCAGACUCCUACGGGAGGCAGCAGUGGGGAAUAUUGCACAGUGGUCGGAAGCCUGAUGCAGCAACGCCGCGUGCGGGAUGACGGCCUUCGGGUUGUAAACCGCUUUCGCCUGUGACGAAGCGUGAGUGACGGUAAUGGGUAAAGAAGCACCGGCUAACUACGUG